AAGCAGUUACAUAGCAUCCAUCUGUCUGCUACAUGUGAUGUAUUUAUGUAAUGUGCGUGUGUGUCUGAGUGUCGGGGAGCAACAGUGAGAACAUGUGGAUGGGUGGAUCCUUUUCGCUGCCGCCCUAUCGAUGCCCGCGGCUUCCUCCACAUAACACACACUCUGCUAUCUAGGUCACUGCACACACAGUUUUGACUUUGUUUCUGUUCCACAAUCGAGGCGCUAGAGUGCUGCUGGAGUUCACAGAGUCCUUCUCAAACCACUUUUGAGAGGAUUGCUCCAAUCUGUGGGGCUCAGCCUUCCCCCCCGCCAGGCCCUCGGAUCACCUCCACCUCCUCCAACGCUGACAGAAAACGAAGAAAGACGGUUUUGAAAAGGGGGCCAAAAUGAGAAAAAUUGCUCAUCUACAUCCCCUUGAACCCGUGGCCUCCGGUUGAACCUGGAAUCAGCGGGUCAAACGAGGACACCCCUUCACCACCACCCUCCCCACCAUCGGCCCGAGCGCUCUCCCAACGCAAAACAAUGCAGGAGCAUGCCACGAGCCCAGCUGACUGAUGAGAGGGGAGGAGAGGGAGGGAGAAAGUGAUUUGGUCGGGGGAAGGAGGGGAACGAGGCUGCCCCCCCGAAAUCCCAAUUUAGGUGGUUUUAUUUUAAUGUAUGCGACGAUGCAUCGAGAAGAGGAGGAAAGGAAGUUUGAACGGCAGCAAAAAGUGAACUAAAAGCUGCAUCGUGUGGUUGAACAUAUUCAUGGAUGUUAUAUAAAUGUUAGUUUUGGGUAUAAAUUGCUAUUUGGAACGAGGAUCUGGGCUCUUUUUUUGUGAUCAACCUAAUUUUGUGUUGUGCUAAAUACGGUAGAAGCAUCUUCUGUUGCAGCUUGUUUUCAUUAUUGAUUAAUCUGCUGGUUAUUUUCUCUAUUAAUCUAUUAUUCUUUAAUAUAUCAUCAUUUUCCCAGCGUCCAAACAACAGUGGAAGCUUAAAAGACUGUUUAAUUUACUCUUAAUAUGACCAAGAAAAGCUUAAAAUCCUCACAUUGGAGACGCUGGAACCAGCAACGUUUAUGUAUUUUUGCUUUAAAAAAAUAACUGAAGCUAUUAAUCCAAUAUCAAAAGGGUUCUCGGUUAAUUUUCUUUAAUUGUUGCAGCUAUAGGUUACUUAUUUAUGUAAUUUGUUUAUGUACUUUGGUCCCACCAUGACAUUACUGUAUACCCCACUGUCGAACAUUUUAAAAGUAUAAAUAAAAUAAAAUUUGUAUCUUUUCA